GCGAAUGUAGCUCAGUGGUUAGAGUACCAGAUUGUGGAUCUGGGCGUCGCGGGUUCAAAUCCCGUCAUUCGCC
rnacentral:tRNA from 2 species